CAGCCGCGGUAAUACAGAGGUCUCAAGCGUUGUUCGGAUUCAUUGGGCGUAAAGGGUGCGUAGGCGGCGCGGUAAGUCGGGUGUGAAAUCUCGGAGCUUAACUCCGAAACUGCAUUCGAUACUGCCGUGCUUGAGGACUGGAGAGGAGACUGGAAUUUACGGUGUAGCGGUGAAAUGCGUAGAUAUCGUAAGGAAGACCAGUGGCGAAGGCGGGUCUCUGGACAGUUCCUGACGCUGAGGCACGAAGGUCAGGGGAGCAAACGGGAUUAGAUACCCCGGUAGUCCUGACAGUAAACGGUGUACGUUUGGUGUGGGAGGAUUCGACCCCUUCUGCGCCGGAGCUAACGCGUUAA
rnacentral:rRNA from 1 species